rnacentral:sRNA from 1 species
UAAACUCACUGGGCCCAUUGAUAGGGGG